rnacentral:tRNA from 2 species
GCCUGGAUAGCUCAGUCGGUAGAGCACGUCCUUGGUAAGGACGGGGUCGUGGGUUCGAUUCCCGCUCCAGGCU